AAAAUUUAGUUAAAACUAUAACAUUAGUCUGUCAAGCUAAAAUUAUUAAUAAAUAAUUUUUA
rnacentral:tRNA from 1 species